rnacentral:rRNA from 1 species
CCUACGGGAGGCAGCAGUGGGGAAUAUUGGACAAUGGGCGCAAGCCUGAUCCAGCCAUGCCGCGUGAGUGAUGAAGGCCUUAGGGUUGUAAAGCUCUUUUGUCCGGGACGAUAAUGACGGUACCGGAAGAAUAAGCCCCGGCUAACUUCGUGCCAGCAGCCGCGGUAAUACGAAGGGGGCUAGCGUUGCUCGGAAUCACUGGGCGUAAAGGGCGCGUAGGCGGCCGAUUAAGUCGGGGGUGAAAGCCUGUGGCUCAACCACAGAAUUGCCUUCGAUACUGGUUGGCUUGAGACCGGAAGAGGACAGCGGAACUGCGAGUGUAGAGGUGAAAUUCGUAGAUAUUCGCAAGAACACCAGUGGCGAAGGCGGCUGUCUGGUCCGGUUCUGACGCUGAGGCGCGAAAGCGUGGGGAGCAAACAGGAUUAGAUACCCUAGUAGUC